GAAUUUUAAUUUGAGUUAUGUGCCGCUUGAUCAAACAAAUUUCGUUUGUAACAUCCAUUCAGUUUAUUAAACUUACAUUUUUUCAGGAAGUUGUUAAUGUGAGUAAGUAAUACUUAACAGGGUUCAAGGAGGGGCUGUUGUUGUGUCACUUUCUUUAUCGAGGAGAAUUUAAGGACAUCACCGCCUCAAACAUGGGGGGAUGCAGGAUUGUUCUGUGUAGAGCUGGUGUUGACUGAUGCUCUCACGAGGGAGCACACAACUUAACAGGGAGAUGAGCGGAACAAAAAGAAAGCAAGUGGUGUCUCGAACAUUGAUGGUGGAUGCUAUGCAAAGUGCAUUGAUCUCUCUAGAGCUAAAUAACUAGAGAUUUGGAAUGCCAUCAAGUUUGGAACUGAAUCUGUGUUCCUGCAUACCGUCCUAUAACAGAGAUUCUGGAAAAGGAGGAGGUUAGGU